rnacentral:rRNA from 1 species
GAUGAACGCUGGCGGCGUGCCUAAUACAUGCAAGUCGAGCGAACAGACAAGGAGCUUGCUCCUCUGACGUUAGCGGCGGACGGGUGAGUAACACGUGGAUAACCUACCUAUAAGACUGGGAUAACUUCGGGAAACCGGAGCUAAUACCGGAUAAUAUAUUGAACCGCAUGGUUCAAUAGUGAAAGACGGUUUUGCUGUCACUUAUAGAUGGAUCCGCGCCGCAUUAGCUAGUUGGUAAGGUAACGGCUUACCAAGGCAACGAUGCGUAGCCGACCUGAGAGUGUGAUCGGCCACACUGGAACUGAGACACGGUCCAGACUCCUACGGGAGGCAGCAGUAGGGAAUCUUCCGCAAUGGGCGAAAGCCUGACGGAGCAACGCCGCGUGAGUGAUGAAGGUCUUCGGAUCGUAAAACUCUGUUAUUAGGGAAGAACAAAUGUGUAAGUAACUAUGCACGUCUUGACGGUACCUAAUCAGAAAGCCACGGCUAACUACGUG